UAGAGAAGCAAAGCAUCUGGGGUACUCAAAAGAGAAUACUAUGGAGGAAGAUGAGCUCUUGUUUCCUUGGAGCGUUGGGAGGGAUUUACAGAGGAGAAGGAGCGGGGAGGACAAGGAGCGGGGGGCGCUGCUGAGGCCGCGGUGAUGGCGGCGCUCCCGUCUCAUGAGGCACCGGACUCUCAGCUCUGGCGGGUCCUGCCCAGGCUCCUUGUGGGCGCCGGUCCCUCCCCCUUUCCAUGGGAAAAGGGAAUGUUGGUUCACGCCACAGAUCAAACAGCUUCCAAGUUCAAAAGUGAAACUUUAGAAGAAGACAGUUAACCAGUGGAACAGAUUGCCAGCAGUGUGGUGUGAAUUUUCCAUUACUCUCAGUCUAAAACAAGCAAGUUUCUCUAGAAAAAAUCCAGUGAGUGAGAAAAGUGGGAUACCAGAAGCUCAUGCAGCUGCACAACCCUGGGGGACACCUUAUAAAUUGGCUUCUGACCCCCAGCCAGCAAAGUGGGAAUUGCCCAGUGUUCUUGGGACCACUGACCUGCAGCACCUGCCCGUGGCAUCAGGAGAGUGCCAAAAUCCCUACAAGGCCAAUGGCAAAGAACUGCAGAGAUGAAUUUCCACCUCUGGAAAAGCAAAAAACGGAGACCCAACACAGGAGGCUCUGCCACGUACAGAGUCCCCAGGGGUGGCCAGGCAGGUUUGUGUGUUUGCUGUUUGCUGCUGGGGAGCAGUUGUUUUCUCCACUGUGAUCCCUAAGUAAAGAUUGUUCGAGGGACUUUCAGCCAUACUAGAAAAUCAUUCCCCUAAAAUUUAAAAUUGGGAGGGGAAUAAAGUGACUCAGUAAGAGCUGCAGAACUCAGAACUUUUUUUUUUUUCUUUUCCCCAAAGGGAACUCUACCCUUUUUUAUAUACUUUGAUUUUCUAUAACUGCUAGAACCACUUUGGCAAAAAGUUCAGUAUUUGACAGUU